AUGACGGCAUCGUGAGAUAUCGAAUGGUUAGAACUCUGAUUCGAUAGCCGAAGGAGCAAUAUGGAGAUUGCCGAAUCUUUAUAGAAACUCUCAGGCGAAAGGAUCGCUGCCGGAUG
rnacentral:ncRNA from 2 species